CCCCACUGUCAUCUGUCUCACCUGUUGAUGGAGCUGACACUGGGCACAGUGUCGUUGUCACAGACGCCCUCGGCCAGGAGCCGGUCUCGGAUCUCCCAGGCAAACAUGGCCAUAGCACUGAGAGAGCACUAACAGGCUGGCAGACCUCCCUGGCACACAUUCCCAUUCCGGGGGGUCCAGGACUGGCGUGUUGGCUAUAGGCAGUUGUGCAGAACAUGGAUAUGCUGUGGAUAUGCGAGUGUGUCGUGUGAUCUGCAUAACACGAGGCACAUGGAGCCCUGGGCAGCCCUCCACAAACAUCUCCAUUCCCACCUGACCAGCACUGCUCCAGGCUCCAGGGAUACCGCAGCCAAGCAGGGAGGAUGCCACGAGGCUGGAGCCAAGGAGCACCAGAGAUGGCCAGCUUACAGCCAGAAGCCAGGGGAGAGGCAGGAGCAGACUGUCCCUACAGCCUCAGGGGGGACCGACCCCGCCCACACCUUGAACUCGGACUUCCAGCCUCCGGAAUGAGCCACCACCCUGGCCUCCCUUCCUCAGUCUUCUAUCAUGUGGUCAAUCCUCCUUUAAAGCAUGUGGUGGAAGGAUCAGCAAAGUCUUCGUGUAGCUGUCCAUCACUUGGGCCCAACCAGGCUGCUCCCUGCCACUUCCCACCCCCCAUCUACUGGGACUUCCAGGCUUCUCCUCCUUUCAAGAACUUUAUGGACCAGUCUGUAGGUUGGUUAUGGACUCACCUAAUAUUUGCAAAGCCCUUUGAAAGUGCUUUGAGGUAAGUGAUACUUUAAUUUAACUCAACUCAACAAAUAUCAGUUGGGCUUUGGUGGCAUCACAGAUGGUCUUUAUGGCCCUGGGAAGAGUGGGCUGGCAUUUCGAGCUCAUUUUCCAGGCGAAGGCACCAUCCUGGAAGUGGCAGUGGCUGUGCACAGCCGGUCAGAGUGGGCCUGCCACUGCAUUUGGGUCUGGUCUACUCUUGCCCACGGCCAGGUGGGGAGUCCCUGAGAGGAGCGGGUGCCGGGAAGGGAGAGGGCUGCCUCCCUGGCAGCCUGAGAUGAGAGACACUAGAGUGCGAUGACUCCAGAUGCAUGGGUCUCAAAUGGUGAUCUACAGCAGAACCACUGGGAGCUGGUGAAUGAUGCCGAAUCCAGGGUCCCACACUUGUUGACAGAGCCCCAGGAGCUUCUGAGGCUGGGACUAGAGACCAUACUUGGCAAACACUUGAUAAAGCACAUUUUCAAAAAGGUUCUUUCAUUUAGCAAAUAUUUAUUAAGCAUCUAACACAUGUCUACUAGGUGCCAGAUAUAGUGUGGGGAAUUUCAUUCCCAACCUACAGAAUCUUAACACCAGUGGUUCUUACAGAUGGAGCCUACAUCUGACCAACCACCCUGCCCAGCUGAUACCCAGAGCCACCAGGGAAGUCCCCUUGGAUCAGUCUCACCCAGACCUGCCAGUGUUUGCUGAUUCCAGGGACCACCACUGCCCAACUGACUACCCCACAUCUAAGCCCAGGCCAGCAAGGUGCCCCUGGAACCAGGGAGGGUCCCACUGGGGUAGCUCAGGCCUCAGUGGCUACAUCUGGUUCCCUAAAAGGCUGCAUUCCUUGUCUCCUCAGUCCCUGAGUGGCACUUAUUAUAAAGAAAAUAGAAGAGUAAUUACAGCAAUAUCAUGUGAAAGGAUCAAGUGUGUUUCAUGUUACGAAACCUUCAUUUACAAAACUCAAAUGCACAGGUUAGGCCAACUGGUAAAACAAUAAAACAUGUGAUUGGACAAUUGUGUGAAAAUUACCAUCAUGGGUAUUUGUGGAGCCCACAUGCCCUGUGGGAUUGUAUGUAAAGCACUGGGGAGAUAGAAUGGAAAGAGUUCUUAUUUUAGCCUGACGGUCACUGCAGGUGAGGGUGUCUGAGAGGGGCUGGCUAAGGAGGUGGAACCUGGGGAGAGCUUUGUCCAAAGGGUGGGAGUAGGGACGGUGUUCUUGGCAGCUGCCACUGAAUGGGCAGAGGCACAGGGCGGGAAUGCACACAGUGUGUUUUGGAAACAAAGACUAGUUGGCUGGAAUAUAGGUUUGCAUAUGGAAAUAGCGGGAAAUAGGGUCAGGGAGGUGGGAUAGAAUGUUCUCAGCUCAUACACCAGCGAUUUGCCCACAAAUGCCUGUUAAUGAUUGGAUUAAAAGGAAGUACAAGUGAGGCUCUAAGAUUAUUUUGGAAAAUCACCAGGCUAAGAUCUCCAGAACAGGGCAGGGAAAGGAGGGAAAUCAGUACACGUUGAUAAGGUAAAUCACCUAGCUCUCACAGAUUAUUGCCAAGCUGUCCCAUUUAAUAAAAAGGUGAGAAAAAAGACAGAUCAGUUAGGUAUAUGGCUCUGGCCAGACAGCUAAAAAGAAGGUGAAAAUCAACAAGGGAAGUGUGAGUAAAAUACUUCCAAAUAGUGAGAGCACUUUGACCCAGGCUUCUUGGCAACAGGGUCAGAAAUAAUGCCUUAGCCUGGCCUCUCUGGGCAAAGCCCCCCCCAGUUUGUCCGAACCCUGCUGUCUUCCCAUUGCUGUCUGCUUUACCCAGGCUGACUCUGGCCCCUCGGGCCUGCAUGCACUGCCAGGAGUCCACAUCUCUGCCCCUGCUGCUCUAUCCCGGAGUCCUCGGGUAGAACCCUGCCCCGAAGCUCCCUCUCCCCACCCAAGCAGAGCCCAGCACGCCUCCCUCUCCUACAAGCUCAGCAUGGUGUGACAAUCUGCAUGGAAGCCUUUCCUUUCUCUUUGCUUGUGGCCAGAAGUCCAGUUUUCUUUCUGUUCUCUAGAAUGUCAGCUGAAGAAUGAUCUCAUGAGCUCUGUAGGCCCCAAAGCCUACUCCAUGCCAGCCAUACUGAGCGACUCAGUAAUGUGUCCUUAUUGAGCUGAAUAUUAGAGUAAUAAUGCCUCUUGAAACAAUCUGGAGUUAGAACUCCAGGCUUAGUGAGAGCACGUCACAGGAACUGGGAGUCGUGAAGCCCAGCAGGGUGUUGAGGGAGCAGUGGAGGAUUUCCCCAGGACACUGCCUGGCAGGUGUGGCUGUGUGGGGAGUCUGAGUCAGAGAGGGAAGGGACACCAGGUGCUUUGUAAGGAGCUGGAGUCAAACUUGAGGUGGCCCAGGCACAGAGUCCAGACUGAGCACCCACAUAAGAGAAAAAGGCCAGGAGGAGAGGAGACAGGUCUGUCAUGGGAGAGCAGAGAGCUGGGAAUACAAGCAUCUCUGCAUAGUGGACCAAGUGGCCUGCGCAUCUGAAAAGAAUGAAUCGUGAUUUCUACGGCCGGUAUUGUGGGCUGAAUAUUUGCACCCUCCAAAUUCAUAUGUUGAAACCCUAACCCCAGUGUGACAGUGUUUGGAGCAGGGCCUUUGGGAGGUGGUAAAAGUUAGAUGAGGUGGUAAGGUGAGGCCCUCACGAUGGGCUUAGUGUCCUUGAAUGAAGAGAAAGAGACACCUGAGCUCUCUUCAGGCCCAAGCACUGAGGGAAGCUGCGGGAGGCCAUGGCGCAGGGGCAGCCAUGUGCAAGCUGGAAGAGGGUCCUCAGAAGACCCCACCAUGCCAGGACCCUGAACUCCAGCCCCCAGAACCUUGAGUAAUAAAUAUCUGUUGUUUAAGACCCCAGUCUGUGGUAUUUUGUUAUAACAGCUCAAGCUAAGACAGGUGGCUGGGAUGGAAACUGAAGGAUGACAGGCUCUUCGGAGGAAACUUCCGGGAGAGGGGUCAUGGCUCCAGGUGUGCUCCAGGGAAGCUGAGAUUGAGGUAAAGGGGCAACUUGUACAAGGUGUGAUGGGUGAGUGUACUUACUCUGCCACAAAGCCACUGGAUUCCUUAAAUGACUGAUACACAUGCGCGAUAUACCAUGUGCUUUGAAAGGAGGGGAUUUUGUUGGGAAAAGUGAUAUGUGGGAGGUGGGGGCCCAGGGAAGUGGCUCCUUUCUUGGAUGGUGGCAAUGUAAAUUCUCCAGAAUGGAAGCACUCAGGAUGCCUCUGAGGCAGGUGUGUGGAGCUCAUCGUUUCCCAGAGUUGGAGUGCCACCGCCACCACGUGGCAAUUUCAGCCUCAAAACACCAGCUUCUCUGACACUUGCCAGUAGACUGGCCAACUGAAGGUCACACAUAAGUGUUCUGCAAAGAACAUUGCAAAACAGUAUGUUCAAUGUAGCAAAGAUUAUCACAUGUUGCUCCUCAUAUCCUAGGUCCUAAGGGAAGUACCAGGUGGUGGCCAUUAAAAGGAAAAAAAUUACACCUUAAACUCGAAGACAUUUUGUCCAUAAAUGUACUUUUCUCCUGCCAUUGUUCAGUUUCAUUAUAUCAGCGGGCACUCUGCCCACCUAGCAGGGCAACACUGUUUGAGAGUCACUGAUUUAUGAAAGUUACACAAAUAUUUGUGGAUCAAAUGUACAAAAUGUUCAUGGUGACAACAUAUUGCUGAUAAUAAUCAGUUCAUGCAGGUGCUAUAACUACAUCCAUGAGCCUGGCUCCUGCCCACAGUUGCCCUGCAGGCUUUAGGGAACAGCAUGUGUGUCCAUAAAGGCAGGGCUCAGGGGCUUGGGGCAGCACUGCCUGGGUAGGUGAUUAGGAGGAUCUUCUCAGGUCUGAGUAGACAAGCCCAAUGGUGACUGCCCUCAGCUACCUACCUGCAAUGCUGUCAUCCUCAGGGGACCAAGAGGUCAGAUCCUAGAAUAGGCAAGUCCUGCUGCUCUCCUGGUAACCCUGUCUGCUUCUGGGAAGAGCCACCUAGAACCCGAGACCUAGCAUUCCUAGCAGCUCUGACAGUGGCGUGAGUGACCCGCGCAAAUGACAGAUUGUCCCUGAGUCUCAUCUGGAAACAAGUCUGUGUAAGGCCUUCCAUGUCCCAUAACUUAAGUGGGGGGCCAAGAAGGAGUGCAUGGCCAGACACCAGAGUUCCUCUGCUCAGGCCUUAAACUAUAGGUUGCAAGAACAAAGAGGUCGCAGAUUGAUGACCUUGUGCCUAAACCGACCAGAGAUGACUCAAAACACAGAGCAGAGUCCCCACAUAUCUUGAGCCCCCAUCCCUACCACACCCAUUAUGGGUGUCUUCUCAGCACCUAUGGACUCAAUCGGGACUCAGCAACUGUAAUUUCCUGGCUGCAUCUCUUGGGGUGUCUGAGAGCAGAGGUUUCUCCAGCCUUCUUUUUUCCACCCACAGACCUAGGACAGUGUGAUGUAUAUACACAUACAAGGACUUCUUCCCAGUGUGUAUGUGUGUGUGCAAGGGUGAGCACUGUAUGUAUGCGUAGGUGGGUAUGUGUGUGAAGACAUGUCACUCACAUGUGUGUGAGUGUGGGUGUAACUGGUGUGUGGGUGCAUGUGUCCUACACAGGAACUAGGGCCAAGACAGCCGGGCCUCAGGUACACAACCUGAGGGAGAGCUCGCUCUCAGGGAGGACCCUGCCCUUGCAUGAGCCCCAGAGUGGGAGCCUCCUUAAAUUUUGCACCUGGGUGCCUUUGGGCUUCACCCUGGUCCCAGCCUUGGUCACAUGCAUGUGUGAGUCUCUGCAUGUUUGGGUGCAUGAGAGCGCGUGUGCUGUGUAUGCUUGUGCUUACAUGUGACUGUGUGUUGACAGCUGUCAGUGGGUGUUGUGAGUGGUCAGAAGGUGGAGGAGGCCCUUCUCCUUCCCCUACCAGAACUCACCCACAUGAGGCCACAGCCGACUGGGCUUGGGUGAGCCUUCUCUCUACCCUAAGCCAUGCUCAGACAGCCACCCCAUGUCAUGGAGAGGGCCCCUUUUCU